rnacentral:rRNA from 1 species
ACGGGAGGCAGCAGUGAGGAAUAUUGGUCAAUGGUCGAGAGACUGAACCAGCCAAGUAGCGUGAAGGAUGACUGCCCUACGGGUUGUAAACUUCUUUUGUUCGGGAAUAAAGUGCCGCACGUGUGCGGUUUUGUAUGUACCGUUCGAAUAAGCAUCGGCUAAUUCCGUGCCAGCAGCCGCGGUAAUACGGAAGAUGCGAGCGUUAUCCGGAUUUAUUGGGUUUAAAGGGAGCGCAGGCGGCCUUUUAAGCGUGUUGUGAAAUGUAGGGGCUCAACCUCUGCACUGCAGCGCGAACUGGAGGGCUUGAGUACGCGGGAAGUAGGCGGAAUUCGUCGUGUAGCGGUGAAAUGCUUAGAUAUGACGAAGAACUCCGAUUGCGAAGGCAGCCUACUGUAGCGCCACUGACGCUAAAGCUCGAAAGUGUGGGUAUCGAACAGGAUUAGAUACCCUGGUA